rnacentral:tRNA from 1 species
AGGGAAAUAGCUCAGUGGUAGAGCACAUGCUUAGUAUGCAGGAGGUCCUGGGUUCAAUCCCUAGUACCUCCA